rnacentral:rRNA from 1 species
UACAGAGGGUGCGAGCGUUAAUCGGAAUUACUGGGCGUAAAGCGUGCGUAGACGGUUAUUUAAGUCGGGUGUGAAAGCCCCGGGCUCAACCUGGGAAUUGCAUUCGAGACUGAAUAGCUAGGGUACGGUAGAGGGAAGUGGAAUUCCGGUGUAGCGGUGAAAUGCGUAGAUAUCGGAAGGAACAUCAGUGGCGAAAGCGAACUUCCUGGACC